rnacentral:misc_RNA from 1 species
AUUACUUCUUUGCCUUUAGCUGGUCAGUUCUGUUCUACCUUAUUCAUCUAGCUCACAAAGAGGCAAUAGAAUAAAGACAAUCAUCAUCAACACAUGACAGAAACAAGAGCUAACAGUAACUACAAGAUAGAUAAAUAUGUUAAUGAAAGCAGGGUACAUAGAAUCUUUUAACCCAGGGAAGAUAUGAUUCUAUUGAUUAAGUGAGAAGCUUUUUACAACCAG